AAGACACUAGGACUCAAAACUGUAUUGCUCCACAACUGGAGAAUGGCCUCCGUGCUGAAAUUCAGUGUUGCAGUUAUUUAUUAAACUAAAAAGAUGGAUAUUUGAAAACUUGGAAAUUAAAGAGGCCCAAAUUUCAUCAUCAACUCCCCAGUUGCACCUAUGUGUUCUGUGGCUCUCAGGACACAGUAUAUCAUGUAACAGGUAGGAAAACUAGGACAACUAAAAACCCUGGACAUUAUAUGUAAAACAGACAUAAGAAGACUCGGAAAGGUGGAGGGAAGAAGGCAGACUAGCUAGGGACGUGGUGACCAAAGGAACAACAUGGUGGUGGAAGAUAGGAGGAAAUUAAACAAAAUAUAGAAACAACUAGGUGCCCAAAUAUAUUAUCGCAAUGGUAUUUAGAAGAGUAAAAUAUUGUUCUUGAAGUAGCCGUUCUCGAGUGAGCCCUGGCUAUUCAGCAUGCACUUCUGAAAUAUCCACGAAGGAGCACUGAGGAUGUUUACAAUCUCACCCAACACUACCCUUGCAGAGUCUACCCUUGAAAGUGAAUUGUUUUGGCUUUUCUUCUUCACUCAAUUACUGGUCAAUAAAAGUUGU